UAGGGAAUCUUCCACAAUGGGCGAAAGCCUGAUGGAGCAACGCCGCGUGUGUGAUGAAGGCUUUAGGGUCGUAAAGCACUGUUGUAUGGGAAGAAAUGCUAGAAUAGGGAAUGAUUCUAGUUCGACGGUACCAUACCAGAAAGGGACGGCUAAAUACGUGCCAGCAGCCGCGGUAAUACGUAUGUCCCGAGCGUUAUCCGGAUUUAUUGGGCGUAAAGCGAGCGCAGACGGUUGAUUAAGUCUGAUGUGAAAGCCCGGAGCUCAACUCCGGAAUGGCAUUGGAAACUGGUUAACUUGAGUGUUGUAGAGGUAAGUGGAACUCCAUGUGUAGCGGUGGAAUGCGUAGAUAUAUGGAAGAACACCAGUGGCGAAGGCGGCUUACUGGACAACAACUGACGUUGAGGCUCGAAAGUGUGGGUAGCAAACAGGAUUAGAUACCCUGGUAGUCCACACCGUAAACGAUGAAUACUAGGUGUUGGGUCCUUUCCGGGACUCAGUGCCGCAGCUAACGCAUUAAGCACUCCGCCUGGGGAGUACGACCGCAAGGUUG
rnacentral:rRNA from 1 species